AACGAACGCUGGCGGCAUGCCUAACACAUGCAAGUCGAACGAGACCUUCGGGUCUAGUGGCGCACGGGUGCGUAACGCGUGGGAACCUGCCCUUAGGUUCGGAAUAACUCCCCGAAAGGGGUGCUAAUACCGGAUAAUGUCUUCGGACCAAAGAUUUAUCGCCUUUGGAUGGGCCCGCGUUGGAUUAGCUAGUUGGUAGGGUAAAAGCCUACCAAGGCGACGAUCCAUAGCUGGUCUGAGAGGAUGAUCAGCCACACUGGGACUGAGACACGGCCCAGACUCCUACGGGAGGCAGUAGUGGGGAAUAUUGGACAAUGGGCGAAAGCCUGAUCCAGCAAUGCCGCGUGAGUGAUGAAGGCCUUAGGGUUGUAAAGCUCUUUUACCCGGGAUGAUAAUGACAGUACCGGGAGAAUAAGCGCCGGCUAACUCCGUG
rnacentral:rRNA from 1 species